GACAGAGGGUGCAAACGUUGUUCGGAAUUACUGGGCGUAAAGCGCGUGUAGGCUGCUCCGCAAGUCGGAUGUGAAAGCCCUGGGCUCAACCCUAGGAAGUGCAUUCGAUACUGCGGAGCUGGAGUCCGUGGAGAGGAAGGCGGAAUUCUCGGUGUAGAGGUGAAAUUCGUAGAUAUCGAGAGGAACACCGGUGGCGAAGGCG
rnacentral:rRNA from 1 species